CUGGGCAAGGGCCGGGAGGUGUGCUGGCUGCAUACAGCCAGGGGGUGCCGCGCAGUAGGACAAGAGACGGCGGGCAGGAACUGAUGCACUGGAAGUUCACCAUGAGCACGAGGAGGAAUUUCUUUGCUGUGUGGUUACUGUGCGCACUGGAACAGAUUUCUCAGAGACGUUCUGGCGCCUCCCUCAGGGAGAUAUUCCAGAACCAUCUGGACUCAGUCCUGUGCUGUGUGCUGUGAGGUGGCCCUGCGUGAGCAGACUAUUCUCAUGGCAAGUUGUAUUUAUUAGUGGUGCACACCGAUAAUGUGGCAUAGGAAAAUGCAUGCAAAGACACACCAAGCAGAAAAGGAGAAAGUGAAGGUAACUUUCACUACCAGAAGAUAUGUUCAACUUAAAUGCCACUCUCUCUCCAUACCUGCAGCAAAUUUGACUCCAAACCAC